rnacentral:rRNA from 1 species
AGCGAACGCUGGCGGCAGGCCUAACACAUGCAAGUCGAACGAAGCCUUCGGACUUAGUGGCGGACGGGUGAGUAACACGUGGGAACGUACCUUUUGGUUCGGAACAACUCAGGGAAACUUGAGCUAAUACCGGAUGAGCCCUUAGGGGGAAAGAUUUAUCGCCGAAAGAGCGGCCCGCGUUAGAUUAGCUAGUUGGUGAGGUAAAGGCUCACCAAGGCAACGAUCUAUAGCUGGUCUGAGAGGAUGAUCAGCCACACUGGGACUGAGACACGGCCCAGACUCCUACGGAAGGCAGCAGUGGGGAAUCUUGCGCAAUGGGCGAAAGCCUGACGCAGCCAUGCCGCGUGAAUGAUGAAGGUCUUAGGAUUGUAAAAUUCUUUUACCAGGGACGAUAAUGACGGUACCUGGAGAAAAAGCCCCGGCUAACUUCGUGCCAGCAGCCGCAGUAACAC